rnacentral:lncRNA from 1 species
AUCCAAAUACAGAUAUAAAAAUUUAUUAGUGAUGAGAUAAAAUAGCAGUAGCAGUGAUUUUUCACCAGUGAUUUUAAAGUAGCAAUCACAACCUGCUACUCCCGGAUGAAAAUAACAGUGACUGCCACGUUUUUACUUUUUAGUAGUUGCAACUACGACGAUCAGAUAUUAAAAGACCUGCCUUAGAAAACACACGCUCGCAUGGCACAGAUGAUCCUAGACAACAUAACAUCCUCCUUGCCAAAACAUUUAAAAAUGGCCCGUGAAGUUGAUGUUCCAAUCGAAAGCUGCAUUUGGGAAACACAUUUAUCGACUGACUCCCAAAUUGAAAAUUUCUUCACUUCAGGCGUCAAUGUAUCGGAUGGUUGAUUAGAGAUCUGUGGUUCAUGUUCAAUUGAUGUAGAUUCAGAUCUGGAUGUCGAAAUUACCUGAGCUGUUAGUUCCACUAUAUCAUUCUUUAAUGAGUUGAGCAUGUUUUCGUUGUGAGUGAAUGACAUUUUUCAAUCCUUGAGCAAUAACUAUAACUAAUGAAGCAGUUAUGUACUGCUUUCUACUCACAGCUCCAAUAGCUUCUUCAAACAUUUUU